UACAGAGGUGGCAAGCGUUGUUCGGAAUUACUGGGCGUAAAGGGCGCGUAGGCGGUUCGUUAAGUCCUGUGUGAAAUCCCCCGGCUCAACUGGGGAACUGCACAGGAAACUAGCGGGCUUGAGUUCGGGAGAGGGAAGCGGAAUUCCGGGUGUAGUGGUGGAAUGCGUAGAGAUCCGGGGGAACACCAGCGGCGAAGGCGGCAUCCUGGACUGGUACUGACGCUCAGGAGCGAAAGCGUGGGGAGCGAUCCGG
rnacentral:rRNA from 1 species